rnacentral:rRNA from 1 species
AACGCGAAGAACCUUACCUACUCUUGACAUCCAGAGAACUUUCCAGAGAUGGAUUGGUGCCUUCGGGAACUCUGAGACAGGUGCUGCAUGGCUGUCGUCAGCUCGUGUUGUGAAAUGUUGGGUUAAGUCCCGCAACGAGCGCAACCCUUAUCCUUUGUUGCCAGCGGUUCGGCCGGGAACUCAAAGGAGACUGCCAGUGAUAAACUGGAGGAAGGUGGGGAUGACGUCAAGUCAUCAUGGCCCUUACGAGUAGGGCUACACACGUGCUACAAUGGCAUAUACAAAGAGAAGCGACCUCGCGAGAGCAAGCGGACCUCAUAAAGUAUGUCGUAGUCCGGAUUGGAGUCUGCAACUCGACUCCAUGAAGUCGGAAUCGCUAGUAAUCGUAGAUCAGAAUGCUACGGUGAAUACGUUCCCGGCCUUGUACACACCG